AGUAGCUUUAAGGCUGCUGCUCAUUUGGUUCAUCCUAUAUCCCCUAUUAACAAAAGUACAAGAAUAAAUUCAUUAACAAAACACUCUAAACAUAAUUACGUAUUGUAGUUCUAUUUUAUGAACGAAGGAAAAAUUCAACAAGUACGGGCGAGCUUAUCUGUGGUAUUGUACACUCAUCUCUAGAAGCCCACAUUUAUACGUCUCAUGUACCUUUCAAAGUAGAUGAAUACAGCCACCCAUUCAAGAGUUAAAUUUGACUUAAUCUAUUUUAUUAAAUUAAAUCUCACUUUCUUCUAGACUCUCCACAAGGAACACAUAAGAACCUGCAUAUAUAUAAAUGUGUCCUCUGCUUCAAUAAUCACAAAGUUUGAAACAAGCAAAAACAUAACAUGUCAUCAUUUAAGUUUCAUUUUGUGUUGCUAUCCCUUUUGGUUUUCAAUUUCUCAUUUCAAGAAGAAUCAAGAAUUGGAUUUGUAGAUGCUGCAAGACCAAUUUUUGUACUACAACAACAACAUACUAAUAAGUUUUCUUCAUCAGUAGAGUACUUAAAGAUUUUUGAGACUCUUGGAAUUGUAUGCAAGUGAUUAGAUUGUUGUCUACUUAUAUGGUUUUGGACAAUCCUAACUUUAUGAGCUAGUUUUUGAGGUUAAGUUAGACUCAAGAUUCAUUAUCUUACAUGUUAUCGAGUCAGAUUCCAUUCAAAAUCUUUGAUUACUAGCUCAAUUUUCGGCCUCCACGCUUCAGAUGUCCAGAUUUGGAUGCACGAGGGGUAUUAAGUGUUCAUAUUGAUUGAGGCGAUGAGUUGUUUCAUCCUUAUAUAAUUUUGAACAAUUCUUAUCUCAUAAGCCAACUUUUCUUUAAAGUUGAAUUAGGUGCGAGAUUCAUUUUUCUUUGAAAGUGUACAAGAGGCUUUUGCUUUGUAUAUAUGUUCAUAGAGAUUCAGUGGCUAAACAGCCUGUUCUUUUCGUUUUAAACAAGACUUUCUUCUUUAAUUCUUUGAAGCUUAUUUUAGUGUGGCAUAUGGAAACAAUGAGAAAAAAGAAAAGAGGAAAUUACGUCUUA